rnacentral:rRNA from 1 species
CUCAGGAUGAACGCUAGCUACAGGCUUAACACAUGCAAGUCGAGGGGCAGCAUUUUAGUUUGCUUGCAAACUAAAGAUGGCGACCGGCGCACGGGUGAGUAACACGUAUCCAACCUGCCGAUAACUCGGGGAUAGCCUUUCGAAAGAAAGAUUAAUAUCCGAUAGUAUAUUAAAACCGCAUGGUUUUACUAUUAAAGAAUUUCGGUUAUCGAUGGGGAUGCGUUCCAUUAGUUUGUUGGCGGGGUAACGGCCCACCAAGACUACGAUGGAUAGGGGUUCUGAGAGGAAGGUCCCCCACAUUGGAACUGAGACACGGUCCAAACUCCUACGGGAGGCAGCAGUGAGGAAUAUUGGUCAAUGGACGAGAGUCUGAACCAGCCAAGUAGCGUGAAGGAUGACUGCCCUAUGGGUUGUAAACUUCUUUUAUAUGGGAAUAAAGUAUUCCACGUGUGGGAUUUUGUAUGUACCAUAUGAAUAAGGAUCGGCUAACUCCGUGCCAGCAGCCGCGGUAAUACGGAGGAUCCGAGCGUUAUCCGGAUUUAUUGGGUUUAAAGGGAGCGUAGGUGGAUUGUUAAGUCAGUUGUGAAAGUUUGCGGCUCAACCGUAAAAUUGCAGUUGAAACUGGCAGUCUUGAGUACAGUAGAGGUGGGCGGAAUUCGUGGUGUAGCGGUGAAAUGCUUAGAUAUCACGAAGAACUCCGAUUGCGAAGGCAGCUCACUAGACUGCAACUGACACUGAUGCUCGAAAGUGUGGGUAUCAAACAGGAUUAGAUACCCUGGUAGUCCACACAGUAAACGAUGAAUACUCGCUGUUUGCGAUAUACAGUAAGCGGCCAAGCGAAAGCAUUAAGUAUUCCACCUGGGGAGUACGCCGGCAACGGUGAAACUCAAAGGAAUUGACGGGGGCCCGCACAAGCGGAGGAACAUGUGGUUUAAUUCGAUGAUACGCGAGGAACCUUACCCGGGCUUAAAUUGCAUUUGAAUAAUCUGGAAACAGGUUAGCCGCAAGGCAAAUGUGAAGGUGCUGCAUGGUUGUCGUCAGCUCGUGCCGUGAGGUGUCGGCUUAAGUGCCAUAACGAGCGCAACCCUUAUCUUUAGUUACUAACAGGUGAUGCUGAGGACUCUAGAGAGACUGCCGUCGUAAGAUGUGAGGAAGGUGGGGAUGACGUCAAAUCAGCACGGCCCUUACGUCCGGGGCUACACACGUGUUACAAUGGGGGGUACAGAAGGCAGCUACCUGGCGACAGGAUGCUAAUCCCAAAAACCUCUCUCAGUUCGGAUCGAAGUCUGCAACCCGACUUCGUGAAGCUGGAUUCGCUAGUAAUCGCGCAUCAGCCAUGGCGCAGUGAAUACGUUCCCGGGCCUUGCACUCACCGCCCGUCAAG